GUUUUAGAGACACCGCUAAAUUUCAUUUCAUUGAAAUGUCUCCCAGUUUCUAAGUCUUCGAAAACAUGACAACAGCGAGCUGAACGACGCUGCAUCUGCUCCUGCUUUCCAUGAUGAAAAGAAGCAUGAACGCCAGGAUCUGAGACACGGACGCUGGAGCAAAAUAUCCAAGCGGGAUCAUUAAGUUGGGGUCCUCGCUGCCUCUUGAGGUGCAGAUCUUUGCCUGAAGCUACCAGCUCCACAGUCCAUUCAUCAAAAGCAUGACCCUCUCUAGUCCUGGACAGGAUGCUAUGGACUAAUGAACAUGGUUUAUUAGAGUGAGGCGAUUGAUGAGUGAUGUGGGUGAGACUCGAAGUGAACGCUGCAGAGAAGCCAGAUGAGG